CUAAACCGUCGACAGCCAGUCGAUCGACGGAGGUAAACCUACCUCUAGUGCCUGUAACUCCUUUCUCGGUCCACGAGAAGUCCCCAGUCUUCUCUCGCUCCACUGUCCUCCACGGCCCCCAAAACACGCAUUUCCUCCGCCCACUUAUCCUGCGCCCCGCCCGCUAUCUUGCGCGCCGCCGCCGGAUUCUGCCCAACCUUCGCCGGCGCCAGCCGAUCCACCGCCUCUUCUCGUGAGGCGAUAGAUUUGUCGAGAAGAAGAAGGUAGUUCCUCGAGGGAGACAAAUCAUGGGAUGCUUUUCAUGGUGUGGACAAAAUGAUAUUCAUCAAGCGACCGACAAUGGGGGACCAUUUACCACAAGUAAUUCAGCAGGUAAUGUUGGAGUUAAUCAUGCCUCAGAUCCUGCUCCUAUGGGUGCUCAAAGUGUGAAAGCGCAGCCUAUUGAAGUCCCUGCCAUUCCGGUGGAUGAAAUAAAGGAAAUUACCAAAAAUUUUAGCAAUGAAACUUUACUUGGAGAGGGUUCUUAUGCCAAGGUGUACUAUGGUGUCUUGAAAAAUGGGGGAAAAUCAGCCAUAAAAAAAUUAGAUGCCAGUAAGCAGCCUGAUCAAGAAUUUCUGGCACAGGUGUCCAUGGUGUCAAGGUUAAAACAUGACAAUGUUGUAGAGCUACUUGGGUAUUGUGUUGAUGGAAAUCUUCGUAUUCUUGCAUAUGAGUAUGCCACUAUGGGAUCCCUUCAUGAUAUUCUACAUGGGCGGAAAGGUGUUAAAGGAGCACAGCCAGGUCCAGUUUUGUCAUGGGCACAACGAGUCAAAAUUGCUGUGGGAGCUGCAAGAGGACUUGAAUACCUACAUGAGAAAGUUCAACCUCGCGUUAUUCAUCGUGACAUUAAGUCCAGCAAUAUACUUCUCUUUGAUGAUGAUGUUGCAAAAAUAGCUGAUUUUGACCUGUCAAAUCAGGCUCCUGACAUGGCAGCACGUCUUCACUCUACUCGUGUUCUUGGAACCUUUGGUUAUCAUGCUCCAGAGUAUGCAAUGACAGGACAGCUUAGUUUCAAGAGUGAUGUUUACAGCUUUGGUGUUGUUCUUUUGGAGCUUUUGACCGGCCGUAAACCUGUAGAUCAUACACUGCCACGAGGCCAGCAAAGUCUCGUGACAUGGGUAUGCAUUUGCUACUCUUUCCUUCUGUCAUUGCAUCAUACAUCUUAUAGUUGUUUCCAAGGCAACCCCAAGACUUAGCGAAGAUAAGGUAAAGCAAUGUGUGGAUUCAAGGCUAGGAGGAAACUACCCUCCCAAGGCCGUCGCAAAGUUGGCUGCAGUAGCUGCCUUGUGUGUGCAGUAUGAAGCUGAUUUUCGGCCAAACAUGAGCAUUGUUGUGAAGGCACUCCAGCCUCUGUUAAAUACUCGGUCUGUUCCUCCCAGUGGGGCACCAGGAUUGUGAAACCGUCGCUUCCCAUUCGUAUUCCUGGCUCAUAGCAGAAUUCAGCGUGCUACGCACGUUUGCUGACUAAUAUUGACCUUAUCGUCGAAGCUAUUCAGCCCUUGUUGGUCAGACCCAAGGUUGUAAAAGUCUACUCUGCCUUCUUGCUCAUUGCUUGUAGCAGAAUCUGGUUGUGGAUGGUAUUUGCUGCCUUCUAGGUUUUAUAUCGUUGUUACUGAAUCUGUGAUGAGCGAUGAAGCUAAUGUGAUGAUUGACUGCAACUUAUAAUGAGACUGCUAGUUUUGUGUAUGCCAAGGAGGAUGUGGCAUGAUCUUGAAACUUGAUUUCCUCCAAAAGCCUCUUGGUCUAAUAGAUACCCCUCUGGGCCCCCUAAGCUGGUGUAAAGCCACUUCCAGAUGGCUUGCUGAAUACCCUUUUCAAGGCAGUAAUGCUGAAAGAAUGGAGAUUUGCAUAGGA